UUGAAAGAUAAUGAACAUGAAGAUCAAUGCCGCCCGCGGUGAGAAUCAGUCCCUCACCAGAAAUCGCCUCUGUACUUGCUCCGACGAUGAAAUCAACCUUGUCCAUGAUAUCCGGGUUUCCGCCCUUGCCGAUGGCGAGGAUCUUGCCAUCACGAAUGCCGAUAUCCGCCUUGUAGAUCCCCGUGUAAUCGAUCACUGUGAUUCCCGUGAUAAUGGUAUCCGCAACCUUC
rnacentral:sRNA from 1 species